AUACUUCCAAAAUCGAUUUCCAUCAGUUUUCUGGGUAGAUAGACAGGGCAAAGCCAAGAGGUCCUUGGCCGGAUUAGCGCUUAGGGGUGGGUGCUGGCGGAUAUAAGGUCCCGCACAUUGCGGGUUGUAUACUUCGUAAAUUGAAGACGGUCAUCUUUUCCCUAAAAAAAGAGUUUCCGAUGCCUUCCUUCAGACCUCUAAAUCCUAAACUUUAAGGAUCCUAUGAUCCCCCAAAUCCCAGUUUCAGAACCCCUCAUAUUCUUCAAAAUCUCCAAGACUUCAAGGGCCCUUAAAAUAUUUGAUUGGACCACUCGCAGAGAAAAAGAAGAACUGAAAACAGUAAUUUAAAAAAACCGUUCCAGGGAGCCCGCCCCACUCCGGCUAGUCCGAUCCUGGAGAAGUCUCUUCGCACAAGCACCGUUUUAUGGCCUAGAUCACAAAAUAAUCUCUCUGUAAAUGUCAACCCUAGGGGAAAGGAUCACUAAAAAAAUCAUGUUGGAAAACUUGAAAUUUAUAGGAUUUCUUCACAUUUAACCUGCACUCAAGUUAUUUAUUAUUGUGUCUUUGUAAAUAUUAACCAAUUUUUUUUCGGUCCUUUCGGUGAAGUGAAUAUUUUUACUAUCAUCGCGCGGUGUCCACAAAUAUGCUAAAAAAUCCGUGACCGGAGGAUAGUGUCGACAAAAUUUUGCCAGCCCCUAAAGUGAAGUGCGCUUUAGAUCUAUCGGUAAGUGGUGGAUUUUCUGUGAGCAGUGACCGAUGCGGGGUGAGGUGGGUUUCGAUGACACCCCGAACAUGAACGUCUUUCUGUUGGAGCUGUGGCUGACCAUCCGGAUUUAUUUUUUCAAGAUCAAGUUGGCACUAGAGCACUAUAGUCGCCAGUUUACCGAUCAUUAUUCUGCCACCAGCAAUUAACCGAUCAAUGAAUUUGACUUUUCUUUUGAGUCGAAGCUCUUUUUUGUGACUGUUCGACGACCGAAAAAUCAUUGAGUGCGCGCAUCGAAAAAUUACGUGCUGAUUAUUGUUGAAGUGCGCGAAACCUUCUUUGGCGUUAUUGUUUCGCGGCAUCAAUUCAAAAAUGAUGUCAAUAUGCGCCAUAAACGGAUAGAUAUCAAUGUAAGUAUGCAUAAACUUAUUUGUACCCGAAAUUUCGCUUUUUUUUUCAUUGUUUUGAGCAGUUUGCAUCAUUUGCGAAUUUGUCUGCCGG
rnacentral:lncRNA from 1 species